AACGCGAAGAACCUUACCAAGGCUUGACAUAUACCGGAAAGCAUUAGAGAUAGUGCCCCCCUUGUGGUCGGUAUACAGGUGGUGCAUGGCUGUCGUCAGCUCGUGUCGUGAGAUGUUGGGUUAAGUCCCGCAACGAGCGCAACCCUUGUCCUGUGUUGCCAGCAUGCCCUUCGGGGUGAUGGGGACUCACAGGAGACCGCCGGGGUCAACUCGGAGGAAGGUGGGGACGACGUCAAGUCAUCAUGCCCCUUAUGCCUUGGGCUGCACACGUGCUACAAUGGCCGGUACAAAGAGCUGCGAUGCCGCGAGGCGGAGCGAAUCUCAAAAAGCCGGUCUCAGUUCGGAUUGGGGUCUGCAACUCGACCCCAUGAAGUCGGAGUUGCUAGUAAUCGCAGAUCAGCAUUGCUGCGGUGAAUACGU
rnacentral:rRNA from 1 species